UACGGAGGGGGCUAGCGUUGUUCGGAAUUACUGGGCGUAAAGCGCACGUAGGCGGACCAGCAAGUUAGGGGUGAAAUCCCGGGGCUCAACCCCGGAACUGCCUUUAAAACUGUUGGUCUGGAGGUCGAGAGAGGUGAGUGGAAUUCCGAGUGUAGAGGUGAAAUUCGUAGAUAUUCGGAGGAACACCGGUGGCGAAGGCGGCUCACUGGCUCGAUACUGACGCUGAGGUGCGAAAGCGUGGGGAGCAAACAGG
rnacentral:rRNA from 1 species